GUACGGGGGGAGCAAGCGUUGUUCGGAAUCGACUGGGCGUAAAGCGCGUGUAGGCGGAUCGCUAAGUCUGCUCUGAAAGCCCGGGGCUCAACCCCGGGAGGCGGGUGGAUACUGUCUAGCUCGAGUCCGGAAGAGGAGUGUGGAAUUCCUGGUGUAGCGGUGAAAUGCGCAGAUAUCAGGAGGAACACCAAUUGCGAAGGCAGCUCGCUGGAACGUAACUGACGCUGAGACGCGAAAACGUGGGGGAGCAAACAGGAUUAAGAAACCCCUUGGUAGUC
rnacentral:rRNA from 1 species